UUUUCAUAAUGGAGAAAGGUUUCCCUCUGAAGUCUGAACGUUCAAGUUUCUCGCUGUGCUCCGUUUCACUUCCCUUUUCCUUCCCAUCUUCCCAUUCGACGGUUCCCAAAAUCUACCACGUCAAAUAGAGAGAAAUCGAGAGAGAGAGAGAGAGAGAGAGAGAGAGAGAGAGGGAGGAUGAGAUUGGAGGCGACAGACGUUGAGCGGCCACCGUCAGCGGUAGAAGAGAGCACCGGUGAGGCCAAGCCUCUUAGCGGAGGUGAAGGAGGCGACGUGGAAGACUCGGAGGAGGUUCGUAGGUUGUGGUGUUGCUGCGGCUUUGGGUUCGUGUUGUGUGGCGCUUCAUUCCCUUUUCCUUCUUAUUCAUUCCCUUCUCUUUGCUGAUUCUUCCAUCUCCAAACUCAGGCGGUGGUGCUGCGAUCUACUCUUCUUCCUUCCCUUCUCUUUCCUGAUUCUUCAUCUCCCAGCCCAGACGGUGGUGAAAUGAUCUGGGAUUUAGGGUGUUGCUUUGCAUCACCUCCAUAGGUCUGCCGCUCUUUCGAUCAUCAGGAUUUGAUUAUGGUGGCUUCUACACAACCUUGAUGCUGGUCUGGAUUCAGGCUUGCUGAUCCCUUGGCCUAAGGAAUUGUCAAUCCUUUCUUUCUUUGGCUUAAUAUUAGCAUCCAUGUUUGCUAAUGAGAUUUAGAUUUGGCUACCCUGCUAUACUCCUACCAUUCUUGGUUUCUUUGCUUUUCUUUAUUAUGAUUUCCCCCCUGCUAUUAAGGAUACUUUAUCCUUGCCCCAAUGUGCUUACUUUGCUUCUAUUAAUUGAUUGGAAAUGAAAAGAGAUGGAUGACAACCAAUUCCCCCCACUUUCAGUUAAUUUAUUAUUAAUUUUUAAAUAUUAGCAUUAGGAUUUUCUCUGGAGUGAAACAUGUUGUCACAAGCCUCCUCAUUCUCAUUGCUGAAUGUCAUCUAUUAAUUACUGAAAUUGAAAUCCGUAUUGAUGUUCCUAUUAUGUUCAGUGACUUAGAGAUGACGAGGACGUUUAUCAAGAGCAUGAUUUAGAGUUCGAAUUUGGAUUUGGCAACAUUAUAGUGGUCAAUAGCGGUGUUUCUCAAAUUUGUCUAGACCAUGCUGAGAAGCAUGGGUGUGUCAAACAAGAAUGAUAUAUGCACUUGACAUGUGCAAGCCUUUGAAGGUCUGAUAUAAACCUGAUGCUUUUUAUUGUUAUUACAUAGUUUUCUUUCCAUUUGCCUCUUUAAUUAUGUUGGUUGACAAGCACAUGUCUUGCAGAACGCUAGCAGAGCUUUCUAAAUUGGCCUAUACCUUGAUGUGGUGAUUUGCCUAUUUUUCUUCUCUAUUUGACACUUUACUGCUCACCUUUGCUCGAAGUGACUAUUUUUAAGGCUACAUAUUGAUUUUUCUCACCUUUUCCUUCUUUGUUCUCCUUGCUUUUUUACUACUUUGUUCUUACACAAUGUGUUGUUUUGUCGACUAUGUUCUUCUAGGAAUUCGGUCGCAUAAGCUUUGUGUAAGAGGAACGAAUUGGGGACGAAGUAGAACUGUGUUCUGCUAGGAAUUCAGUCCUCCUUUCAGCACUACUGCAGCAGCUAUGGACUCCACCUCAUUAUGCAGAGUUGUAGUGGUACUGCUACAGUAAGGGGUCAAAUAUUGGGAAAUUGAAUUCGUGUGCAUAGCUUGGUCCUUCCACGGCUUCCCUCAGAUCUACUCCAUAAGGCAUGAUAUCAUGGAUGUCAACUGUCUCAUGCCAGGCUUGCUGUUAGCCAUUAGAAAAGUAGUGCAUCUCAAGGUCCAUAUCUUUUUGAACUGUUGAGUGAAGAAAGUCUGCUGCCAAGAAGCCAACAGCAGGCACCAGGAAGAUGAAUGCAGCAGCAGGAAGAAAACAAUCAUUAUGUCAGAAGUUCAUAACUGAUAUGUUGCAGCCUGCUGAAAGUAAGAAAGAUGAGUGAAUGAAUGGAUUCUUCAUAUACUUGGUCUAUCACUUAUUUCUCUUAACUGGCCAUAAUUUGAGGACUAGAAACUGCACAAACCAGGAGCUAAUUAUAGUGAAUGUUAAUGCAUAUGUAGUAUCACAAUUGGUAGAAUGUGAUCUAUCCCGAAAAAGAAAGAUGACAUAACUGAGGCUCCUUGACAUGAACAUUAAGAUCAAAUCCCUUCUUUAAUCUUAGCUCAUGAAAUACUGUACAUGUUAGGUAGACCUUUCAUGUGAAAGCUUCUUCAAGUAAACACUCCUCUUUGCAAGCAUGACGGUUAAACUGAGAGGAACCGUUGCAGCAGAAUGCUUAAGUGUGUGACUGCUGACCAUAUGAAAAGUGUAUGUAUAGAUCACUCUAUUAGUAGACUCAUGCAAGUGGAUAAUAAAUUGUUUUGAAUAGUUAUUUACCAGUUACAGAAUUUCAAUUAAAGAGGUGAGUAAAAUACACUUUAAGCCAA